rnacentral:tRNA from 1 species
AGGAUCUUAGUAAAAAAAUUACAUAGCCCUGUCAGAGCUAAAUUACAGACUAACAUCUGUAGACCCUAA